CAGAUCAAAGAAACUUGUCGUUUCUCUACUAAAAUACUUGACGUUGAUAAUAAAUUUAAUUAUCAACCCUAAAAAAUUUACUUAUUAUAAUUUAAUUAAUAAACUAGUUUGUGUGUCCAUCAAAUUGCUAGUGAAAAUAUUAAAAUGUGCAACAGUGGCCGCAGAUCUGUCAACAAUCUAACCUAAAGUUCAUUUGUCCAUAAAAACAAAUCGAAGAUAUCAAGAAUAAGACACGAAUAUAUAACAAAAAACAAUAGAUAUUUUUUCUAAACACACGUUGAUUCGUGCCUUCUCACCAAAUCAAAGGACUUCUUCUACCCACCACUUCAGCAAGAGGAUAACGGCUAAUCAAUUGAAGCAGCUAAAAUUUUAUUCUGAUUUCACUGAAGAAAAAAAACGUUUGUAAAGCUUUUCUACUUGAGGCAGUGAUCAAAACUAAGAUCUUCUAAAAUUUUAGUCUGAAAAAUGUAUCAUAGAACAAGACCACAUGCAUCUGCAAUUUAAAAAGCCGAAUUUUAUUUCUGCAAAAUUGAUUUUGAAUUUCGAAGUUUUCAAUGUAAGUGACAAAAAAAUCGUUUACUUUUAAAAACAAAAAUUUAUUUUGAGAUACGCGCAGCUCAUUCUCGCUGAAAAUUUGUUACAUUUAAACAGAAAUUUAAUUCAAAGAAAGACUCGACUUAAACAUUCAUAAGAUAAUCUCUUACGAUUUACGACUUCAAUAUAAAAAAAGCUCAAUUCAAUGCAAAUGCAAUUAAU